CAACAAUCAGAUAAAGGACAUAAGUAUUGGAUAAACAUUCCAAACAUGUAAAUCUGACAAGUAACUGUCUGGGGAAGAAAGGGACCCUAAUAUAAAUCAACCUUAAAAAUAGGAAGAUAGGCAAGUGCUAAAUAAAAUGUAAAUAUAAUGGUAGGCAUGACAAUAUAAAAGAAUAAAAGAAGAAACCUAUUAAGACCACAUAAAAACUAAAUGGUUUUAG